rnacentral:rRNA from 1 species
GUGCCAGCAGCCGCGGUAAGACAGAGGUGGCAAGCGUUGUCCGGAAUUACUGGGCGUAAAGAGCGCGUAGGUGGCUAGAUAAGUCCGGUGUGAAAUCCUUCGGCUUAACCGGGGAAUGGCAUCGGGGACUGUUUAGCUAGAGGACGGGAGAGGAGAGCGGAAUUCCCGGUGUAGCGGUGAAAUGCGUAGAGAUCGGGAGGAAGGCCGGUGGCGAAGGCGGCUCUCUGGAACGUCCCUGACGCUGAGGCGCGAAAGCGUGGGGAGCAAACAGGAUUAGAAACCCUCGUAGUCC